AGUUAGCAGCUAGGGUGGCCCCUGGGCCUUGGAAAUUCUCUGCUGUCUUCUGCAUGCAGCCAUGGGGUGACCAAAGGGAAAGGACACAGAAAACUGUGUUGGGCAUUUGAGGGGUCACGUCUGGACCUGGUGGAUCACGGAUGCCAUGUUUCACUCUUCAGAACUAGUUGUGUGGCUCAUGUUUGAAGAUUUCAGAAGCUACAGUUUGAUCGUGUGCCCAGGAAGAAGCUGGAUGUGGUGAAUCUCCAGCCAGAGUCUGUCGUGUGGGAUAGAGCUAGGUAAACCAAAGGGGAGGUUCACACCACCGAUAUUCUUUUCCUCAACCACAAUGUUGUAGGUCUCUCUCUCCAUCACCAAUACCUGCAUCGCCUAAGGAAUGUGGACAGGAAGUUGCAUGUGUAUGGAAGGCUACCUCCCCCCGCUGGCUCUGUGAGCGACCCGGUAGGCGGUACAGAGAGUGACAGCGGGUGCCGCUGUGGGCAGCAGGGUGGAGCCGGGGGUCUUCAGUGUCAGCUGAAUCCAGGUUCUCAUGAGAUACUAGGACUCCUAUUCCUUGUCCUGCCACUCUCUAAGCUGGUCCAGGCAAAAAAAAUUGCUCAUCGAUUCCUAGUUUGUGAAUGGGGCUCCAAAGCCCCAGCCUUUUCUGAAAAUGAGGCCCACAGUACAAGAGAAGGGCGAGAGAUGUGCACUUAGGGAGGUGCACGGAAGUCAGAGGCCCCUGCUGGCCAGCAGGACAGGUGACUCUGAAGUUGAGUCCUUCCCUCUCUUUCCCCCUCACCCACAUGGUGAGCUCCCUGCGGGGCCGGGCUCCUAUCUAAAUCCAUUCUCGAAAGGAUUUGCUGUUUGAAAACUCUUUACUGUUUUAAGCUUCUCUUUUCUUGUUUCUGAGUUGAAUUUGAGGAAUUCCAAGAUGCUCUGGACUCCAAUGUUCACGCCCCUGUAGAUGAAUACUGAAAAGAAAAAGACUGAGGGAAAUGGCAGAGAGUUCUUGCCUGUGUUUUUACCGAGGAAUACUGCAGAGAUAUUGUCGUUUCCAGAAAGACCUGGGAUCCAAUGUGUUGUUGAGCAAACCAUGGUCUAGGAGUGCAGAGUCUGGCCCAAAGUGACUCACCUCAUAUGGCUGGGUCACUGCCACCGUACUACUGUGGCCCUCAUCUGUCCUGGCAAGACCGUGGGGGAGACAUGCUGAUCACCCAGUUAAAGUGGACUCCUUCACUCCUCAUGUGACAGCAUCCGGGAGGCUGACUGCUGGUAUAUUUUCAUCUAGAAUCAGGGCUGUGGAAGGAACUAAGGAAACGGAGGGAAUGUGAGUCUCUCUCUACCAAACAUGCAGCAGGAGACACACUAUCGAGGGCGGAAAGAAGUCACCCGGUUUUAGCCAGAGGGUAGAGUGGACACUGCCCAUCCCUUCCCUCUUCCAGUAGAGCACACUGAUUUUCUGGGAAAAUGCACCCUUUCUCUGUGUGUCCCUAUAGUUCCCUUAAGGUUGACCUAUUCAUUAGCCUCAGUCAAAAGCCAAUCACCCUAAUCAGGAGGAUUGGUUUGAAGAUGAUCAAAGAUAUUUCUUUUUUUUUUUUUAAUUGUUGGUCGUUCAAAACAUUACAUAGUUCUUAAUACAUCAUAUUUCACAAAAAAAGACAAAAAAAAAGAACCCCAUCAAAGAUAUUUCUUAAGACUGACAGAAGAAAAUGUUUCUUCUGGGGUUAUUCAGAAAAGAAUCUUGUAGAGGAGGGCACCAGAUAAGAAAGUCAAAACCUGUGUCCCAGGGACUUAUUUAUGACCUGGUUCCUGCCAUCCCUGAGCCUUGUGUGAACAAUAGAUCCCUCACUCCCCUUCUGGUUGAAGAUGGAUCAAGCAGGCAGGGAAAGGGUCUGUCUUUUGUAACUACAAAGACAGAAGAUCUGAGAUGGCCUCAACUAUUUGAGUAAUGACAAUCAGGUUGGGAAUAACACUCCUCUGACCCUCUUUGAGGCACUCCACAAACAUUGUUCCCUUCUCUCCUAACCACGCACGAGAGAUGUCUUCAUCAGCAUCACGCAGUUGCAGUUGCUGAGGUUCUGUUAUAGUGAGUGCCUGGACCAAGUUCAAAUUGCUUAUUAAUAGUGGAAGCAGGGAUUCAAGCCCAGUUCUGCCUACACCAAAAGCUUUGGGCUUUCACUCUAUCACAUGAUCUCUCCUGAAAGAAAAGCCUGGAUACACAUGAGGACAAAGGAAAACCUGAGACCACAGUCUGUGUAGCUUUCCGAAUCUCUCGAAGGAUUCUCCAUCAAGGACACAAACAUCUGGGGAAGGGGCUAUUGUUACAGGAAGGAAACAGCUAACAGAGGAGCAAGGAGCAGCCGUCUGAACAGGAGGAGGCAGCAGGAAGGCUGGUUUUGUGCCUAACUUGUUAUCGGGACUUUGGGGUGCAGCCGUAGAAGCGAAGUGGAAAUAAAAUGCUCCAAGGACGCAGCGAGUCCUGGCGACCCGAGGCUGUGGGUUUGGCUGAGUUCUGAGAGGGGGCUUGAAAGUGGAGGCCAGAGAGUCUCCAGGUCUCUGCCUCUUGUUCCCUCCGUCUCUGCUUGGCUGUCUUACCCCUGUCCUUCCUCUGUGGACGGGCUUCCUGUCUGCAGUUUCUGGGGUAGACCUGACUGUCCUUCCUGAUGGGCAAGUUACGUGGACACCCCAACCUCCAGGGGCCGACUUCCCUAACAAUUCCAGACUUCUCUGGAGAAGACAUUGACACCUGCCCAUCUACACAGCAGGCACAUGCCAGAGCCUCUAGUGGUGAGAAGUACCUGCAUCAAGGGCCAACACCCUGGAUUUCAGGUUCUGCAGGAUGAGGGAGAAGAGGAUUAUAGGUAGAGAAGGAAGAUGGAGAGAGACAUCUAAGAAUCCACUGACAGAUGAGUAGGGAAGGCACCGUCUUCCAUUCAGAACCCUCGGCCCUGAGUUCCCAGAGGUGUUGGGAUCCAGUCAUGAACAAGUCACCGAGUCCCUGCACUGGUCAUGCCUCCCACAGCCCAGGUACUUCACAGAAUGCCCCUGCUGCAUUCUGUGCCUGAAUGGUCACCUGCUGCCCUUUGUCCUGCUUAAAGGCCCUCUUCUAUCUGGCUUCCUCCGACUUACAGGGCAGCAAGCCUCUCUGCUCUGAGAGUUGUUUACUCCUGGGAAGAAGCUGUGUGUGGACCAAGGUGGAGCCUCACCCAGGGCUGAGCAGAAACUCCCAGCACAGAGCCUGGGGUUGGCCAGACUCGCCUCUGGCCACGUGGAAGUCAUGGCGGCUAGAAGGAAUGAAUGGGCGGCACUCUCACGAUGUUUCUGCUCCAGGAAAUCAUGGCUCACCUGCAGCAGGGUUUCAGGAGAAUGGCAGAUGAGAUUAGUGGGUGAGAUCUGUGGUUCUCACCAGAGAUGUUUACCAAAGAGACUGGGGGAGUUUUUUUAGAAGAUUGGCCCCACCUCAAAUGCAGGACUAGGACUCCCUGAGUAUAUAAUCCUCCAGGUAGGUAGCUCUACUGACCAGGUAGAUGCUCUGUAUUAGGAAUCAAUCCCUCUUGAGUUCCUUCUAUUUGGGGCAUUUAAUGAAUUAUAUUUUGCUCCGUUGAUUUCGUCAUAAAAAAAUUCAAGGAAGCAGUGGAUCCCCUAAGAAUGGUUCCUGGUCCUGAGGGGCUUCUCAAAUUUGCCUCAGCAGGUGAAGAUCCGUGAGAUAUUUUAGACUGACUACUGUCCUUCUGUGAUUUUCACUUGGUAGAGCUGACUCCCAGCUGCUCAGAAGCUUCUCCAGAUCAGGCACUUCUUCCUCAUGACCACUCCUCCUGAGGCCUAGUGAGCAACGACAUUCCUAGUUCAUGGUCAAUGGGCCGCCAUUUUGUUUGCUUCUUUGCCCACACUGAAAUGCAGCUGAAUUCAGUUGCUGGCACUCAUCUACCCAAAGUUCCCAUCUGGGUCUUUAAAAAUAGAACUGAGUGUGAACCAAUAUUGCAAUAAACUAACUACCCAGGGCUCUGGAAAGGUUUUCAACCCAGAAGCUCCAAAUGUGACAAUCUUAUUACCCACUGAAGAGGACAUGCCAUUUCCAGGGGCCUUCAAACAUCACUGGGCAGUGGGGUGUAAGCAAAGGGAAGUGGGGGGCAUUCUCUGAAUGCUGUUCUGGGGCUUUUCUCCUUUAGCCCUGAGCAGAGGUCCUGAUGCCUCCCCACACAUAGGUGAAGACACUGAAGCUCAGGACAGCCACGUCGGCUCUUCUUACCAAGUCUUUCUGAGUGUGUCCACCUCUGAAAUCCUGCCCAGGGAACCUGACUUUGUUAUCUCCCUGACAUCAAAACCAUCCUCGGGAGGAAAGGAAACUUAUCCAGCCUCUCCUCCCAUCAGCUCUGCCCAUCUCCUUCCUGCAUCCAGGAAGGAGGGAGUGAUGGUCACCCAUGCAGCUACAGUUCUUCCUCCUCAUUCCCACUUCCCUUUGACCUCCUCCCUCUUUGAUGGAGCUGGUGGGGAAGUGAAUUCAGCAGCCAUCCCAGGCUCCAUCUCCCUUCAACCUACCCAGGUGGUGGACUGAAGCUUCAGGUUCUGGGAGGAGCAGGAGGCCCACUUGGCCUCAGAUAGCCCAUCUGUGCAGUCACUGUCGUAUUCUGCACUGGCGAUGAGUGACGAGGGUUCAACUUAUUCAUUAAAUGGGAUUUUUCCUCCUA